rnacentral:rRNA from 1 species
UACUCAGUUCGGAUUGUAGGCUGCAACCCGCCUACAUGAAGUCGGAAUUGCUAGUAAUCGUGGAUCAGCAUGCCACGGUGAAUACGUUCCCGGGCCUUGUACACACCGCCCGUCAAACCAUGAGAGUUGGCAACACCCGAAGCCUGUAGCUUAACCGCAAGGAUGGCGCAGUCGAAGGUGGGGUCGAUGAUUAGGGUUAAGUCGUAACAAGGUAAC